UCCAGCUACCCCCCCACUGGGAUUGCAGGGGUAUGCUCUGCCAUGCCCACACCAUUGGUUCUCUUAUUUUAGAAAUUUGGAAUUUCUAUUUAGCUCUUUUUAUAGAUUCAAUUUCUUUGGUAAAUGUUUUCCCUCCACGGAUUUUCUCACCUUUGUCUCUCUUCUCCGGCUAUUUUAGGAUCCUUCUGUAGGAGUUCCGAAUGGACGUCACCACUGACCUGUCCUCGUGCUGGUCCCUUCUGGCCCCGGCUGUGUGUCUCUUGGCAUUCUGGCAUGGUUAUUAUUGGCGGCUGGAUGCAGUUUUAUCUCUGCCAGGAAAUGUGUCCCCACCUCUGAUAGUUCAAGAACAGGGUGACCCCAGGCCCAAGAAGGGUUGUGCAGAGUGGCUCCGUAGAAGCUCAGACGUAGCCCCAGUGGCUUCCAGGGUCUGCUCUGGCAUCUUGGUCUUCUCAGCAAGGACAGGAUUCAGGACCUUAGUCUGCUCUUCAGAGGUCUGGGGCUUUGAAUGUCUUUCCCACUGUGCAGCUAAGAGCCCCAGGAACCUGCUGCCCACUUACGUCACUGCUGAUCUGGCACAGGCUGAACCACAGUGAGAGCUCUCUCCUGUCUGCUCUGGUCCUCAGAUCGCAGCCUGAGUCUAGAGCUCUAGGCAGGCCCAUGAAGAGAUGCCCACAGAGCACACUCACACCUCGUAGGUCUCCCCUGGCUGGCCUCGGGUCCCUGGCCGUCUCUUCUCUCUGCUGUCACGGGAGCAGCUAGCUGCUCAAAGGAAGCCAGAGGCUCAGAGGAGGUUUGCAGGCUCGCACGUUAGCCACUGAAAGCCGUAUAGGGACUACUAAAGUGUCCUCUGUACAGGUCACAGAGGGCUGGGUGUGCUGUGGUCCCUGAACUCCAAGUCAUGACAGGAGGACACUCGUUAGCCUACUCCAUGUCACUGUGGCAGGCUGUUAUGUCUUUCCAGGACCCUGAGGAUUCAGCCCUCUUUCUGGACCACUGAUGGUCACAGGAACAGAGAAAGGAGAACCCGGUGGACAUGGACUGGGUCCUCUACAAGGAGAUGGCCCAGUCACCGAAGCUCAGUGGUCACUGUGCAGGACGAGACACUGGGUCCUACAGAGUGCCAGUGUCUGGACCUGGCCCGUCACCAUGUCUGUCAGUUAGGACACUUCCUGUUGCUAGUCUGGCAGUGGGACAAGGGCUCGUUUCUUUAAAGAUUGCGUGUCCCUGAUGAGUGACAUCAAGUGACUUUUUAUUUGUUCCGUGGAUUUAUGGGGAAACAGGCAGCAUUUCAAGAUUAGAGAUAAAAUGUGACCUGUAAAGCGCCUAUGGGCUCUCUGUUCUGAAUAGUAGGGACUGCACCUCGACACCCUUCUUACUUUUACACACUUCCUCCCUUCAUGCUAACAAUGCUUUGUGAAUUUCUGUCAUGACUAGGUCCGGUAGGUCCUGAUGCAUCUAACAGUUUUUCUGUGUGCAUUUGUGUCAGAGGCUGAGCACAUGCAGGUUCAAGCUUGUCACAGCUGUGCUGGGUCUGAUACCUCUAUUGACACACGUGGUUUUGCACCGUGAGUCAUUUUGACUGAGGUUAUCUUCGUCAUUCCUCUGGUCAUCUCGUCUGUGUUUGUAUCCAUCCUUUGUUCUUCAGCCACGAAUCAGAGUUUAUGAAAUGUCUCUGUAGACAGCACAUGAUCCGGACUCUGAUUCCAAAUGUGACCUCAUUCUGCCCUCCCGGUACGACUGAGCAGAGCCAGGCUCUGCUCCGUACCCCGUGGCUGCUGCAUCUUUGAUUCCCGCCUUUCUCUUCUGCCUUUUAAUCUCAAGUUAGUCAGAAAUGCAUUCAAGUCUUUUUUGUACCUAUAGAAAAACAAAACCAAAUCCCUUCCCGACAACACACGUUUCUGGUGUGUGUGACCCAGGCUGUGCCUAGAUCUUGUCCCUCCCUUUCUUCUCGGGAACUCAGAACUCUACCAUCCACCCCCUGAACUCUUUGACGCUGGGCAUUGCUCUGGCAUCCUCACCUGCCUGUUGUCCCUAGGCCGCUUACAUGACCCGCUGCUGGUAAUCAGUCCUCAUCUCUGUCCUUAUCCCAUGGCCAUGGCGAGCCACAGCCUUCCCCAUUCCACUUACCACCCUCAGCUCUGUGCCCCAAGGUCCCAGUUAGACUCAGGAUAGGCCUCUGACCUUAGCUGUCUGUGUAGUGAGUGCCCGGCUCUAACUGGGGCUCACAUUCGUCCAGACCACAGGCGGGCGAUUCUGCUCCCCUUCUUCUCUUUCCUCUGAAGUAUGGUGCCAACUUGCUUCCUCUGCAUGGAGUCACUGUGAGUACCUGGGCAGAGCCCCGCAAAGGGUGGCGCUGUGGAUCCCUGGGAUGUUGGGAGCACAUUGAUGGGUUGUGAGAUGUCAGGCACUCAUCCAGCCAGCUGAGUAGACUAUUUUUAGCCUCCAAGCUCUACCUCACUCUAUAGUAAAUCUGAAUGCCCUCAAAAACUGCCAAGUGGAGAUUUCCUGCUGUAGAUCUUCGGUGACUUGCUUUGUGUCUGUGCCUAUGAGUGACAUUUAUCCCACGGUGACAUUUGUGGGCGGCAACUUCUCCCGAGGAAACACUUGCAGCCACCUGCACUGACUUCCAGGUCAUCAGAGUUAAUCACCUCCGGUCCAAGUUCUUGGAUAACAGGCGGCUUUGUGACUGCUGAGGUCGGAAGGCAGAGGCUGGCAUGUGACUGACCAUACCACGGCCCGUGAGGUGAGGCCUCAACCUGCUCCUCUCGGCUUGGGAGAUGCACAGAGAUAUCCACAGCAGAAUGGGGACAAGAGCAAGCAAAGACCUUGGCUACACUGCACUGUGACCAGCAUCACCCCAUCCCACCAGCCCUGCUGUGCUGGGGGCUCCACUGACCUGCUGCAGCAAGCAUUUCUCACCACCACGGUACUCUGUAGGCCUUUGAUGGAAGCUGCCUCUGCCGGGCUUCAAGAGUGCUGGGACCCAGCUGUCCAUGUUGACCCUGCAUGUGGAUGCACUUAAGAGAGACAUUGAGUCUUUGAUGUGAGGCCUGGUUCUUCAAGGCAGAUGUUUAGCCAAGAACGUGAUGCCAGCAAUUUCACGAGAAUACUCUCCUGGGGAGGGGGCAGUGGGAGGAGGGACAGUCCCUACCUCAGUCUGGCUUUAUGGGAACCUCAGGUGGGACACUUUACUUCAGGGUCUACCUACAAGAGACCAAGAAUGGACAUGGCUCCCUGAGACCCACAAUGGAACUCACAGAUCCCUCCUGCUGUCCUAAAGAAGCCAGAGGCACCCAGGGAAGGGAGCAACUACCUGGGAGAAGGAACAGACCACACUGGUGGGUGCCACCGGCAGGAAGGCUCACUGGGGAACAAGCUCACUCCACAGUGGUGGCAUCACACUGCAGCUCUGGCCUCUGUCACUCACUCUGGACUUGGCCCUGAGCAGCCUGUGCCCCUGAUUUCCUCAUUCACCCAGGUGCUGGCUGAGACUCAUUCUGUGUUGCUCGGGGUUGACAGCAGUCCCUGGUGUCCUGAGUGUUUUGGAAGCUGCUUUCUGUGGCUGAACUGGAGUAACAGUUCUAUUCUAUUCUGAGUGCCCUGGUGGAGAACUCUGGCUAGUCUGUUCUUUCCCUGAGGUAUGGUAAUCCACUCUUUGCACUUGGCUUUUGGGUGAAGAGUCUAGAAUGUGGACAUCCCCUGCUGAUGACUAGGACUGCACCUGGUCCAAGACCAUGUGUCGUUUCCCAGCAGACCCUGGGUCUGUCCCCAGGCUCUGCUGUUAGACCACUGUCCCUGAUUUUUGAAAAUUAAUUUUGCACGUGGUCAUUUUUCCUGUAUGUAUGUCGAUGCACCCCACAGAUGCCUGGUGUCCACGCAGGCCAGAACCAGAAGUCAGACCCCCUGGAACUGGAGUUGGAGAUGGUUAUGAGCCACCAAAUGGCGUCCUUGGAAGAGCACCCAGUGCUCCUCCGCGGAGCCAUCUCUCCAGCCCUCUUCCCGCUUUUUAGCUUCACAUCAGCUCUGUCUGAGUCUUCCUUUUAUUCCCUGUCUUCCUCUGGGAGGCUGCUGACUGGGCUUGACCGAUGCCUUCUGGAGUUAGGCAGUAGUCUCCAGAUGUGCUUUCCACCCAGCAGCCAGAGUGACCCUUACAAGCAG